AUUGAAUCUAACAAAGUGUUGCUUUUUCAAAGUCAUAUCAACCAGUCAUAUUUCAUUCGUUUCAGACAAGGUUUUCUUGCGUGAAAUGGACAUAGAAUUGGAAAAUCACCACUUACAAAACUCUCAAGAAGCCAAGAAAGAAGUUGAUUCUCAUUACGAACACCCGGAAAGAUACUACUCUGAUUACAGUCUUUCAUUAUUAUACCACUAUGUGGAGAAGAAGAUGACCAUUACAUAUUUAAUUUUUCCCAUGAUCCACAUCCCUCGGCUGAAACCAUUCUGAAGAUAACGAAUUUCAUAAAAGAAAUGGGCGAACAGUGGGCGGGUGUUUCUUUGUAUCUGUCCGGAUGCACUCGCAUGAAAAAAUUUCCAAGUCUGUACUAGAUAUGGAAUUUAGUUCUUAAUUUGAGAGAUGAGAUAUUUAUACACGAGUGUUUUAAUAUUACAUGACGAUAUUUCAAUUUAUAGAGUUAAUA